GACCACAUACCUGCAAAACUAAUGACAUUCCAUCGGCCUCAGCUGUCCUUUACGAUUACUGUUUAAUA